AUGGGCGGCGGCGCGGCGGGCCACGGCCAGGCCAGCGCUGCCCCUCCCAUGGAUCCGGCCGUCCUUGAGCACCGGCGCGAGCCCCGUGCUCGUGUGCUUCCGCCGCGACGCGGCCUGCAGGAGACGGCAACGCUGCCGAUCCCCGACGAGCUCGUGGCGGAGAUCUUCCUCCUGCUGCCCCCAACAGAUCUGGUCCGCGCCUCCGCCGCCUGCGCCUCGUUCUACCGUCUCGUCGCCAGCCGCUCCUUCCUCCGGCGCUUCCGCAAGCUCCACCCCCCGCCCCUCCUCGGCUUCCUCGAUGACCGAGUCUUCCACCCCGUAACCCCGCCUUAUCCAUCCGCGUCCGCAGCCAACGCCGUCGCCCUCGCCGCCGACUUCUCCUUUUCCUUCCUACCCGGCCCCGCCCGUGACUGGGAGGUCCUGGACGUCCGCGACGGCCGCGUCCUCCUUAAGAGGCCCGGCCGGCAGCACCCCGAAAUGGUGGUGUGUGACCCCUUGUACCGGCGGUACCUCCUGCUUCCCCUGUUCCCCGACGACCUAGCCGCUUCAUUGGAGGGCCCAUCCGCGAUAAAAUGGCGUGAAUCCUUCCUCGUCCCAGCCGGCGACGAGGAGGCAGCAACUGCGGAAGAGACGUCAUUCAGAGUUAUCUGGAUGGCGCAGUGCAAAUUCAGACUGUUCACCUUUGUCUUCUCCUCUCGCACUGGACAAUGGGGAGCUGUUCCAUCCCCGAGUUGGAGUGAUUUAUUUGCUGGCUUGCCAAGUUUGGAGAUGGCUACACCUCUCAACACACGCCAAUAUGCGUAUGGCUGCUUUUACUGGAUGGCGGGUUACAUGGCAGAAGCUAAAAUGCUGGUGCUCGACACCUGGAGGAUGGAGUUCUCCGUUGCUGAAUCCCCACCUGAUGGUUUCGCUAUGGCCAUGGUGGAGGCCGGGGAAGGCAGGGCUGGGGUGUUCGUGCAUGCUCAUGUGGGAUCCAAGUUCAGUUAUAGCAUUAGGCAAAAUGAUGGUGGGAGUUUGAGCCAGUGGCAGGAGAAGAAAACAGUAUCAUUGGGUUAUGGAUACUACAUCAUGGGUUCAACGGAGAGGUACUUGUUCUUGUAUCAGCUGCAGAGCCCAUUGCCUAAUCCAGGCGUUUUCACGCUGGAUGUCCAAACAUUCCAGCUCGAGAGAGUGUGUGGUCAACACUUGGGCCACGCAUAUAGUAACUUCCCACCAUCGUUGUUGUUGUCACCGACAGUAUGA
rnacentral:rRNA from 1 species